UAUAUAUAUAGCAUUUAUGCUUUAAUUUAUACCCAAAUUUUAUGAUCUCAUUCACUUUUGCUAUAUCACUAGUAACAUCAUCCAUACUAUAGACUUGUUCUAGUUUGUGAAAUUCACAAUAGCUAGUGAACACAUGUCGGUGUGAUAAUAACAGUAUGAUGUUGCAAGUAUGUAUGGUCAUAUUUGAUUGAGGUAUGAAAUACAAAAGGUAUUUUAAUAAUGCUGACUAUAUGUAGGGACGCUGUUAGAGCUUAGCAAGCAAGUUGAAUACAGAGAAAUCGAGGCACCAUUGCAGUGAUGCCCCUUGCGACUGAUGGAAAAACAUAACAAUGAAUAUUUAUCUAAUUGUUUUAGAACACCUGACUAUAAACUGUUAACUUUAUGGGAAGGUUGCUUGGAAGGUUGCUUGGUUGGAUGGUUAAAAGUCAUUUUUGAAACCUCACAAGCUGUUCGUAAUUAGUUCAAAAACUAACAAUCUAAAAUAAAAAGGAAAUAAUAAAUAAAUCCAAUAAAAUCCAGCUACUAACAAAAACAAUAAAUUGUUCCACUAUUAACUCUCGCUAUUCUAGAAAUUUAAGUG